GACGAACGCUGGCGGCGUGGAUUAGGCAUGCAAGUCGAACGGUAUCAUCCUUUCGGGGGUGAGAGAGUGGCGAACUGGUGAGUAACACGUAGGUUAUCUACCCUCAAGACGGGGACAACCCAGGGAAACUUGGGCUAAUACCGGAUGUGAGCAACUUUUAGUUGUUUGAAAGGUGGCGUAAGCUGUCGCUUGGGGAUGAGCCUGCGUCCUAUUAGUUAGUUGGUGAGGUAACGGCUCACCUAGGCAAUGAUAGGUAGGCGGCCUUAACGGGUGGUCGCCCACACUGGGAUUGAGAUACGGCCCAGACUCCUACGGGAGGCAGCAGUCGAGAAUAGUCUACAAUGGUCGGAAGACUGAUAGUGCGACGCCGCGUGAACGAUGAAUCCCUUCGGGGUGUAAAGUUCUUUUAUAUGUGAGCAGUGCUUCUUAUAUUAACAGUAUGGGGAGAGAGAUAUUAGCAUAUGAAUAAGCAACGGCUAACUCCGUGCCAGCAGCCGCGGUAACUCGU
rnacentral:rRNA from 1 species